ACACCACGGUUCGCCAGGGAGACCCGUCCCGGCGGCCCUCGCGGCACACCGGAAGCGGCCGGCGGCGCGUGACGGCGUGUGACCCCCCCCUCCUCGCGCAAGCGCAAGAGCCCAGCCCUAGCUGGCCAGCCGGCCCGUAGGAACUGCGCAGAGGCUCGCAGCGGAGGGGACUGCUAACACGGACGGACUGCUUCCGGCCACAGCUCCGGGGCGGCGGAGGAAGCUGUGGCUGCCGGCUGUGGGACACCCCGGCCGCUCAGCCCACGGGCACUGCUGUGGGGCGUUCAGUUGUCCACACUUGUGGCAAAACAAGCCGCGAGCAGGAAGGAUAUGACGCUGUUCACUGCGAACCAGCCUUGUUCCCUGGAAAUUGCAAACAAGGGGAACAAGAAAUGUUGACAGUUCUCCCCGGAGAAAAAAAGGAAGGUUGUGGAAGCUGUGGACUCAGGCAUGAGGAAAGGCGACGUUGCCUUCUUACAGGAUCGCACCAAAUUUGAAGAAAAGGUGCGGGAGGCCUCUGUGGGUGCACAGCAGAAAAGGAUGAGGAAUGCACUCCAUGACGACACUCAAGGCCGGUGCCGUGGCUCACUAGGCUAAUCCUCCGCCUUGCGGCGCCGGCACACCGGGUUCCAGUCCUGGUCGGGGCACCGGAUUCUGUCCCGGUUGCCCCUCUUCCAGGCCAGCUCUCUGCUGUGGCCAGGGAGUGCAGUGGAGGAUGGCCCAAGUACUUGGGCCCUGCACCCCAUGGGAGACCAGGAGAAGCACCUGGCUCCUGCCAUCGGAUCAGUGCGGCGGCCAUUGGAGGGGGAACCAACGGCAAAAGGAAGACCUUUCUCUCUGUCUCUCUCUCUCACUGUCUACUCUGUCAAAAAAAAAAAAAAAAAAAAAAGACACUGAUAAGGCUGUUUUUGCUUGGUUUCAAGAAAUCCAUGCCAAAAAAUGUUCUUGUGACUGGUUCCGUCAUUCAGAAAAAAGCACUAAACUUGGCCAACAUGCUUGGCUAUGACAAUUUUCAAGCAAGUGUGGCCUGGCUACAGAUUUAGAGACCCCCAUGGAAUUGCUUUGAAAGCAGUCUGCAGAGAAGACAGUGACAGGUUAAUGCAUGGUCUAGGAAUAGAUAAGGUUAACGAAUGGCGUGCAGGGAAAAUUAUAAAACGGAUUGCUGAUUACAGCCCAGAUGAUGUGUGUAAUGCUGAUGAGACAGGAGUGUUUUUCCAGUUGCUUCCCCAGCACACAUUUGCUGCUAAAGGGGACCAUUGUAGAGGGGGCAAGCACAGUGGUUGACAGCACCCUUUUGUUGCAAUACUUCAGGGACUGAAAAAAUGCGACCAUUGAUUGCUGGUAGGUCAGCCAGCCCACGAUGCCUCAAGAAUGUGCAUUCCCUCCCCUGCGAGCACCAGGCCAACCAGUGUGCAUGGAUGACCAGGGAUCUGUUUAAUGAGUGGCUGAUGCAAGUGGAUGCCAGGAUGAAGCCGGUGGAACACCGGAUCCUCCUGCUCAUUGACAACCGCUCUGUUCACAGCGUGCUGCCUCGGCUGAAGCGGAUUCAAGUGGGGUAUCUCCCCUCCAACUGUACUGCUGUCCUGCAGCCACUGUGUCUCAGCACAAUUCACACCAUGAAAAUCUAUAUAGGAGUCACCUUUUUUUUUUUUUUUUUGACAGGCAGAGUGGACAGUGAGAGAGAGAGACAGAGAGAAAGGUCUUUCUUUUGCCGUUGGUUCACCCUCCAAUGGCUGCCACAGCCGGUACAUCAUGCUGAUCCGAAGCCAGGAGCCAGGUGCUUCUCCUGGUCUCCCAUGGGGUGCAGGGCCCAAGCACUGGGGCCAUCCUCCACUGCAUUCCCGGGCCACAGCAGAGAGCUGGACAGGAAGAGGGGAAACUGGGACAGAAUCCAGCACCCCAACCGGGACUAGAACCCAGUGUGCCAGUGCUGCAGCCGGAGGAUUAGCCUAGUGAGCCGCGGCGCCUGCCAGGAGCCACCUUCUAAAACAGAUCCUCCUCAAGCUCAACAGUAGUGAAGACCAAGAAAAGGUGGACAUCAAGCAGGCCAUCGACAUGACUGCUGUGGCACAGUGGUUAGUGAAGCCGUCCACGGUGGUCAAAUGUUGGCAGAAGGCAGGCAUCAUCCCAGUAGAAUUCACAGAUUCUGACACAGGGGCAGCAGUCUGUGGAUCAGACAUUGCCACUGAGAAGCUCAGACAUUGCCACUGAGAAGCUGUGGCACUCAGUGGCUGUUGCCGUGUGUGUCCCCAGUAGAAUAAAGUUCCAGGACUUUUGUCGCUGCAAAUGAUGAUAUCAUCUCCCAGGAGCUGCUGGACCCAGGGCUUGGUGCUUGGUGAAAAUACUGGUGGAGCUGGGAGUGAGGAUGAGGAAGUAUCUUCACCUGAGCAGCCAAAAGCCACCAUUACAGAGGCCAUCUCAAGUGUGUAGAAACUUAGACAAUUCCUUUCCACCGUGUGGGUGUUACCGAUGCCAUGUUUGGACAGCUAAAUGGCACAGAUGAAUACUGAAUGAAAAGGGUGACAAACUCUGGUUGACUCCCAAAUCACAGAUUUCUUCCAAACAAAAUAGUGUAGGAAUUAACUGCCUCUUUUAUUUUAUUAAAUGUAGUUUACAAGAAUAAAGAUUUCUUUAGAUAGCAGAUUGAA